UCACUGUUAUGAUCAGGAUGGACACUCUAAAGAGAGAGAGAGAGAGAGAGAGACGGAGAGAGAGAUGGAGAGGUGUCACUGUUAUGAUCAGGAUGGACACUCUAAAGAGAGAGAGAGAGAGACGGAGAGAAAGAGAGAGAGAUGGAGAGGUGUCACUGUUAUGACCAGGAUGGACACUCUAAAGAGAGAGAGAGAGAGAGACGGAGAGAAAGAGAGAGAGAUGGAGAGGUGUCACUGUUAUGACCAGGAUGGACACUCUAAAGAGAGAGAGAGAGAGAGAGAGAGAGAGAGGAGAGAGAGAGAGAGAGAUGGAGAGAGAGAGACGGAGAGAAAGAGAGAGAGAUGGAGAGGUGUCACUGUUAUGACCAGGAUGGACACUCUAAAGAGAGAGAGAGAGAGAUGGAGAGAAAGAGAGAGAGAUGGAGAGGU